GACGUAGGGCGCGAGCGUUGUCCGGAUUUAUUGGGCGUAAAGAGCUCGUAGGCGGCUCGUUGCGUCGGCUGUGAAAACCCGCAGCUCAACUGUGGGCUUGCAGCUGAUACGGGCGGGCUUGGAUUCGGUAGGGGAGACUGGAAUUCCUGGUGUAGCGGUGAAAUGCGCAGAUAUCAGGAGGAACACCGGCGGCGAAGGCGGGUCUCUGGGCCGAUAUCGACGCUGAGGAGCGAAAGCGUGGGGAGCGAACAGG
rnacentral:rRNA from 1 species